rnacentral:rRNA from 1 species
UGGGGAAUAUUGCACAAUGGGGGAAACCCUGAUGCAGCAACGCCGCGUGAGUGAUGACGGCCUUCGGGUUGUAAAGCACUGUCUUCAGGGACGAUAAUGACGGUACCUGAGGAGGAAGCCACGGCUAACUACGUGCCAGCAGCCGCGGUAAUACGUAGGUGGCGAGCGUUGUCCGGAUUUACUGGGCGUAAAGGGAGCGUAGGCGGACUUUUAAGUGAGAUGUGAAAUACCCGGGCUCAACUUGGGUGCUGCAUUUCAAACUGGAAGUCUAGAGUGCAGGAGAGGAGAAUGGAAUUCCUAGUGUAGCGGUGAAAUUCGUAGAGAUCGGGAGGAAUAUCAGUGGCGAAGGCGCCCAUCUGGACGGUAACUGACGCUGAGACGCGAAAGCGUGGGGAGCAAACA